rnacentral:rRNA from 1 species
AGUGAACGCUGGCGGUAGGCCUAACACAUGCAAGUCGAACGGCAGCACAGUAAGAGCUUGCUCUUACGGGUGGCGAGUGGCGGACGGGUGAGGAAUACAUCGGAAUCUACUUUUUGGGGGGGGUUAAGGUAGGGAAACUUCCGCUAAACCCCAUUACAACCUCCGGGUAAAAGCAGGGGAUCUUCGGCCCUUGCGCGAUUGAAUAAGCCGAUGUCGGAUUAGCUAGUUGGCGGGGUAAAGGCCCACCAAGGCGACGAUCCGUAGCUGGUCUGAGAGGAUGAUCAGCCACACUGGAACUGAGACACGGUCCAGACUCCUACGGGAGGCAGCAGUGGGGAAUAUUGGACAAUGGGCGCAAGCCUGAUCCAGCCAUACCGCGUGGGUGAAGAAGGCCUUCGGGUUGUAAAGCCCUUUUGUUGGGAAAGAAAAGCAGCAGGUUAAUACCCCGCUGUUCUGACGGUACCCAAAGAAUAAGCACCGGCUAACUUCGUG